AGAGUUUGAUCCUGGCUCAGGAUGAACGCUAGCGGCAGGCCUAACACAUGCAAGUCGAGGGGCAGCACGGUGUAGCAAUACACUGGUGGCGACCGGCGCACGGGUGCGUAACGCGUAUGCAACCUACCCAUAACAGGGGGAUAACACUGAGAAAUUGGUACUAAUACCCCAUAACAUCAGGACCGGCAUCGGUUCUGGUUGAAAACUCCGGUGGUUAUGGAUGGGCAUGCGUUGUAUUAGCUGGUUGGUGAGGUAACGGCUCACCAAGGCAACGAUACAUAGGGGGACUGAGAGGUUAACCCCCCACAUUGGUACUGAGACACGGACCAAACUCCUACGGGAGGCAGCAGUGAGGAAUAUUGGUCAAUGGACGCAAGUCUGAACCAGCCAUGCCGCGUGCAGGAAGACGGCUCUAUGAGUUGUAAACUGCUUUUGUACGAGGGUAAACGCAGAUACGUGUAUCUGUCUGAAAGUAUCGUACGAAUAAGGAUCGGCUAACUCCGUGCCAGCAGCCGCGGUAAUACGGAGGAUCCGAGCGUUAUCCGGAUUUAUUGGGUUUAAAGGGUGCGUAGGCGGUUUGAUAAGUUAGAGGUGAAAUUUCGGGGCUCAACCCUGAACGUGCCUCUAAUACUGUUGAGCUAGAGAGUAGUUGCGGUAGGCGGAAUGUAUGGUGUAGCGGUGAAAUGCUUAGAGAUCAUACAGAACACCGAUUGCGAAGGCAGCUUACCAAACUAUAUCUGACGUUGAGGCACGAAAGCGUGGGGAGCAAACAGGAUUAGAUACCCUGGUAGUCCACGCAGUAAACGAUGAUAACUCGUUGUCGGCGAUACACAGUCGGUGACUAAGCGAAAGCGAUAAGUUAUCCACCUGGGGAGUACGUUCGCAAGAAUGAAACUCAAAGGAAUUGACGGGGGCCCGCACAAGCGGAGGAACAUGUG
rnacentral:rRNA from 1 species